GACGGGUGAGUAAUGCUUAGGAAUCUGCCCAGUAGUGGGGGAUAGCCCGGGGAAACCCGGAUUAAUACCGCAUACGUCCUACGGGAGAAAGCAGGGGAUCUUCGGACCUUGCGCUACUGGAUGAGCCUAAGUCGGAUUAGCUAGUUGGUGGGGUAAAGGCCUACCAAGGCGACGAUCCGUAGCUGGUCUGAGAGGAUGAUCAGCCACAUCGGGACUGAGGACACGGCCCGAACUCCUACGGGAGGCAGCAGUGGGGAAUAUUGGACAAUGGGGGCAACCCUGAUCCAGCCAUGCCGCGUGUGUGAAGAAGGCUUUCGGGUUGUAAAGCACUUUCAGCGAGGAGGAAGGCUCUGAAGUUAAUACCUUCAGGGAUUGACGUUACUCGCAGAAGAAGCACCGGCUAACUCCGUGCCAGCAGCCGCGGUAAUACGGAGGGUGCAAGCGUUAAUCGGAAUUACUGGGCGUAAAGCGCGCGUAGGUGGUUAGGUAAGCGAGAUGUGAAAGCCCCGGGCUUAACCUGGGAACGGCAUUUCGAACUGUCUGACUAGAGUGUGGUAGAGGGUAGUGGAAUUUCCUGUGUAGCGGUGAAAUGCGUAGAUAUAGGAAGGAACACCAGUGGCGAAGGCGGCUACCUGGACCAACACUGACACUGAGGUGCGAAAGCGUGGGGAGCAAACAGG
rnacentral:rRNA from 1 species